GUAUAGGUUUAAAAGGCAAUCAAGCCCAUUAAGAAUAAAAAUAACAUGUUAUUGGGGGUAUAUUAACAACAUAGACUGGAAAGUGUAAGGAAAGUUGGCUUGCGCACAGCAAUCCUCAAAACCGAGUUGCCUCUAGAGAUAUUCCAAGUCUACAAAAAGUGCACAGGUGGUAAGAAAGUUGGUGUCAGGUGUGCACAUGCCCCAAAGAACCAGCGACAACCCAACCAAACUUAUUCAAUAAUGAUCCUUCCGCAGGUUCACCUACGGAAA
rnacentral:misc_RNA from 1 species